UCUAUAGGAAGGUUUUCCACACCAAGUUAGGAGGAGACUGUAGAAUCUGCCCGCAGUGAGAAACAGAGGAGCCCCUUUCUGCUUGCAUAUGGAUAAUAUUAUACAAUUUCUGGAGGGGCAUAUAGAUCCCGUUCUGCGUAUCAAGGAGGCCACCUUCCGGCCUGCACGCCCCCCCACACUAUUCCUAACUUACCAUGAAGAAAACCUAUGAGUUUAGAAUUAUGACAUCAAAGCCGCCCCUGGAAACCCAGGCCAGAGGUUUAAAGUUCGUGUUCAUAAUUUUUCCUCCACCCAAUUAACGCAUUGGUCUUUUUUAACGUUCCACGCCCCAAUUCCGUUGUAAAGUUCGUAUGGUUAAAGGCCCAGCCCCUCAAAUGACUUCGAGACUACUUUGGGUGUGUAGUAAUGAUGGUGUCAACCAGAGUUUAAUUCCCCGCACCAGUCUGAUGACUAUAGAGACUCACAAUCUUUCAAAAGUUCAUAGGUGGAUGAAAGACCAAUGGAGCGUGCACAUGCCCCUGAGGCGAGCUGAACUCCUAAUGAAUUCCUUUAGUGAUUCUUUUUUCUGUUGGUGAACCUGCGGAAGGAUCAUUAAUGAAUUCACUAUGGAGUUGUUGCUGGCCUCUAGGGGCAUGUGCACGCUUCACUAGUCUUUCAACCACCUGUGAACUUUUGAUAGAUCUGUGAAGUCGUCUCUCAAGUCGUCAGACUUGGUUGCUGGGAUUUAAACGUCUCGGUGUGACUACGCAGUCUAUUUACUUACACACCCCAAAUGUAUGUCUACGAAUGUUAUUUAAUGGGCCUUGUGCCUUUAAACCAUAAUACAACUUUCAACAACGGAUCUCUUGGCUCUCGCAUCGAUGAAGAACGCAGCGAAAUGCGAUAAGUAAUGUGAAUUGCAGAAUUCAGUGAAUCAUCGAAUCUUUGAACGCACCUUGCGCCCCUUGGUAUUCCGAGGGGCAUGCCUGUUUGAGUGUCAUUAAAUUCUCAAACUCACUUUGGUUUCUUUCCAAUUGUGAUGUUUGGAUUGUUGGGGGCUGCUGGCCUUGACAGGUCGGCUCCUCUUAAAUGCAUUAGCAGGACUUCUCAUUGCCUCUGCGCAUGAUGUGAUAAUUAUCACUCAUCAAUAGCACGCAUGAAUAGAGUCCAGCUCUCUAAUCGUCCGCAAGGACAAUUUGACAAUUUGACCUCAAAUCAGGUAGGACUACCCGCUGAACUUAAGCAUAUCAAUAAGGCGGAGGAAGGAUCAUUAAUGAAAUCAUAUUGAGUUGUUGCUGCCUCUUGAGGCAGUGCCGCUCAUAGUUCUUUCAACCACCUUGAAAUUUUUGAAGAAUUUUGAAGUCUCUCUAGUCUUCGACUGGUAGCUGGGAAUUAAACGUCUGGUUUGACACCACUCUUGUACUUACCACCCAAAAGUAUGUUUCGAAGUUAUUGAAGGGGCGUGGUGCUUUAACAAAAAAAAACUAUAAACAGAUGUUGGGCUUGAACGUUAAAAAAGAACGAAUGGCGCUAGUUUGUGUGAAGCAAAAUUCAUGACCACCAAACUGUGAAGCACUGGGCCCUUGGGUUUCAGGGGGCAGGCCUUUGAAGGUUAAAAUCUCAACCCAAUGUGUUCUCUCAUGGUGAGAUUAGGAAGGGUGGGGGCUCGCUGGCUGAAAGGUGGCACCCUUAAAGGCAUGAAUGGAUGUUUAAGCUCCUUCGAGUAUGGAUUAUAGAUAUACUAUUGCGACGAAAAUGGGGGCUGCUUUUGUAUCUCGUGGGACUGUGAAUAUUCUUCCUACCUGGUGUGAAACCCCUCUAAAUUAAAGCCAGAUAUUAUCGAGACGAAAAAAAUU
rnacentral:rRNA from 1 species